ensembl:lncRNA VGF nerve growth factor inducible
AUGGAGAGCAGGCGCCAGGCGCAGGCCGCGCGCAAAGCGGCCGCCGAGGAGGAGCGCCUGGCGGACAUGGCCUCCGACCUCCUCCUGCGCUACCUCCUGCACGGCCCCGGCGCCGAGGGGAAGCGAUCCGAGGAGGAGGAGGACGAGGAGGAGGAAGGAGGGGAGAGGGAGAGGAAGGGGGCUUGGGUUGGCAAGGGGUUCGCCGCGGAGAGGGAGUUCCCCGAGGAGAAGGGGUUUUCCAUGGGGAAGGCGUCGGCGGCGGGCAACGGGUUCCCAACGGGCAACAGGUUCUCGGCGGGGAAGGAAUUCCCCGAGAAGGAAUUCUCAAUGGGGAAGGGGUCCUCGGUGAGUAAGAAAUUCUCGGCGGGUAACGGGUUACCCGCGGGAAAGGAGUUCUCCGUCGAUAAGGAAUUCUUAAUGGGCAAGGGGUCCUCGAUGGGAAAGGAAGCCCCCAGGGGCGGCGCGUGGAAAGGGCUCCCCAUGGACAACGAGAUCCCCAUGGACAACUGGGUCCCCAUGGACAACGAGGUCUUCGUGGGGAAGAAGAUCCCGAUGGGGAAGAAGAUGGCGAUGGGGAAGAAGAUCGCGACGGACACCGCCAGAUUCCUGGGCAACGAGAUCCCCGCGGGCAACGAGAUCCCCGGGGACGAGGCCCCGAUGGGCAACGAGAUCCCCGGGGACGACGACGCAGCCAACGAGAUCCCGGCGCGCGGGGACGUCCCCCUCCGCGGCCGCGUCCCCGCGGGUGACGAGGAGCUGCCGGCCGCCGCCAGCUCCCGCCCGCACGCCCCGCUCCCGUUGGCCGAAGCUCUGGCGGCGGCGCUGCCGCCGGCUCCCGGGGACGGCGGGGACGGCGUCGGCGACGGCGACGCGGGGCUGGACCCCGGGACCAUCGACCAGCUGAUCGAGCUGUCCAGCCGCCUGCACCUCCCGGCGGACGACGUGGUGGACAUCAUCCACGACGUGGAGCAGAAGCGCCAGGAGCAGGCGGCGGCGGCGGCCGCGUUCCCGCUGCCCGGUGAUGACGUCAGCGAUGAUGACGUCACCGAGGAGGAGGAGGAGGAGGAAGAGGAGGAGGAGGGGGGGGAUGAAGUCGUGGCUCCGCCGCCUCUCCCCGCCCCCCGGCCCAGGACGUUCCGGCCCCCGGCGACGCGGUGGGGGGGGAGGAGGUGGUGA